GAUGAAGAACGUAGCGAAAUGCGAUAAGUAAUGUGAAUUGCAGAAUUCAGUGAAUCAUCGAAUCUUUGAACGCACCUUGCGCCCUUUGGCCAUUCCGAAGGGCAUGCCUGUUUGAGUAUCAUGAACACCUCAACUCUUCAUGGUUUUCCAUGAUGAGCUUGGACUUUGGGGGUCUUGCUGGCCUGUGGGUCGGCUCCUCUCAAAUGAAUCAGCUUGCCGGUUUUUGGUGGGCAUCACAGGUGUGAUAACUAUCUACGCUUGUGGUUUUCCACCAGGGUAACCUUCAGCAGUGGAGGUUCACUGGAGCUUACAAAUGUCUCUCCUCUGUGAGGACAGCCCUUUGAAUGUUUGAUCUCAAAUCAGGAAGGACUACCCGCUGAACUUAAGCAUAUCAAUAAGCGGAGGA
rnacentral:misc_RNA from 1 species